rnacentral:lncRNA from 1 species
GCAACUCUGUUGGCAUUUGUUGUUAUUCUUCUAUCCCCUGCCUGCAUUGACAUGUGAGGCAACUCCACUGCCUCUGCCUCUGCCUCUGCAUCAUCGAGGUAUUAAUAUUACUAUUAGUUAUGUUAUGUAUACUACCUGACCUGAUGGAUCAAUCUUUUCUUACAUCUAUAUAUAUAUAUAUGUACAUACUUAUUGCCGAUCAUCAUGACAUGAUGAAUUAAUUAAAAUUUCAUGUUUGUUCUUGUGUUUAUUAGAGCUACUUCAGAAAAAGCCAACCAUAUAUAUGCCCUGCUGCUUGUGUAUGUUGUGAACAUCCACAGCGCCCAGCCGGCUCCUGUUGUCCUUGUUGUUCUGUUCCUACUAUAACUACUCAAUCUCAGGCUGCCUCCCCUCCCCAUGAGCACCGCUAGCAGCUCAAACACUUGCUUCCAAGUUCCAACCAACCUUAUUUGAAUUUAUUUGUUCAGAGUAUUACCUUUAAUUGUUACUACUACUACUAUUCAAUGUAAUGAAGUAAAAUUUUUACCAAUUUUAUCC